GCACUUUUAGCACCUAACCUGCUAGUAGAUGACGUUUCGGCUGAUAGUCAAAUGCAAAUAGUUUGAUAAUCUGUGGUCAAAUUAAGGUUAGAAGUCGUUUACAAACAAUGGGAAAGCCAUAAAUGAAGACAAGAAAGCUGGUUUUUCUGUAAUUGUCAUCUAAGUGAACCGCAUUAAGCCCUACGAAGCGCCAUUAAGCGCGGACGAUUAUAUUCGCUUAUAGAACAAAGCUGGAUAAGAGCAGCCCAACUGUUCAUAUCACGUUGCCUCAAGUUGAUUUAACUGAUAUAUUCCACACCGUCGACUUCCAGUCAGUCUUGCAAGAAAAUCAGUCAAUUAUCGCAAUGGCUGCGUGGAAGGUUAGAACGUAUCCUGGAGCUUCCCAGAUCAAGGCACUGAAGCCCCAAUUCAUCAUCAAGUAUGUGCCCUCGGAGCCUACGUAUUUCUUAAAAAUGAAUCCCUUGAAACAUCCGGAGGACGGGAAGCUGAAGUACCCUUUCGACACCCUAGUGAAGGACAUCAAGAACAUGAAACUGCCAUCGCCCACCUGGAAGAUCAAGGUGGUGGUGAAGAGCAACAAGAUUGCUUCGAUUAUCUUCACGAAUAAGUGCGUGUUAGAGAGAACAGUGAGUUUCGGGGCGAAGAGCGAGUUCUUUGAAAUUGUCAUUGAGAACAGGCCUGCCUUGCUGUUGGGGAGCCCUAAUACUGUUAACUGCGUGGAGGACAUUGAGAUAUUGUUGGGGAUUAUUCACACCAUCAAUGCCAAGGACUGUAUGAUUUUUUAUAAGAAAUAAUUUCGAAUGGUUAGGACAGUUUGAUUGGCGGAAUUGAAGAACACUAUAAGAAGCUAACAUCUAAGGAAAUUAUUUACUUUAUUUUUCAUUCAUCCAGUGAGAUCCAGUUGAUUUGUAUUAUUACUAGACAUAAUAAUUUUAUUUAGUAUA